rnacentral:rRNA from 1 species
GACGAAGGCUGGCGGCCUGCCUAACACAUACAAGUCGAGCGGAGACAAGAGAUAGCUUGCUAGAUCUUGUUUUAGCGGCGGACGGGUGAGUAACGCGUAGCAACCUCUCUCUCAGUGGGGAAUAACACAGGGAAACUUGUACUAAUACCGCAUGAGACCACGGUCCGAUGGUACAGGGGUCUAAGAUUUAUCGCUGAGACGUGCGCUCGCGUCUGAUUAGAUAGUUGGUGAGGUAACGGCUCACCAAGUCGCUACGAUGCACAGUAGCCGACCUGAGAUAGGUGAUCGGCCACAUUGGAACUGAGACACGGUCCACGCUCUUACGGGAGGCAGCAGUGGGGAAUAUUGCACAAUGGCCGAAAGCCUGAUGCUGCAACGCCGCGUGAGCGAUGAAGGCCUUCGGGUCGUAAGCUCUGUCCUCAAGGAAGAUAAUGACGGUACUGAGGAGGAAGCCGCGGCUGAACUACGUGGCCCGAGCCGCCGUAAUACGUAGGGGCUACCUUAUCGAAUUACUGGGCGUAAAGGGUGCGUAGGUGGUUUCUUAAGUCAGAGGUGAAAGGCUACGGCUCAACCGUAGUAAGCCUUCUGAAACUGGGAAACUUGAGUGCAGGAGAGGAGAGUGGAAUUCCUAGUGUAGCGGUGAAAUGCGUAGAUAUUAGGAGGAACACCAGUGGCGAAGGCGGCUUACUGGACGAUAACUGACGUUGAGGCUUCGAAAGCGUGGGGAG